rnacentral:rRNA from 1 species
UAAUACGGAGGGUGCAAGCGUUAUCCGGAUUCACUGGGUUUAAAGGGUGCGUAGGAGGGCAGGUAAGUCAGUGGUGAAAUCCCCGAGCUUAACUUGGGAACUGCCGUUGAUACUAUCUGUCUUGAAUGUUGUGGAGGUAAGCGGAAUAUGUCAUGUAGCGGUGAAAUGCUUAGAUAUGACAUAGAACACCAAUUGCGAAGGCAGCUCGCUACACGAACAUUGACUCUGAGGCACGAAAGCGUGGGGAUCAAACA